rnacentral:tRNA from 1 species
AUUGCUGUAACUUAUGCUAAAGUGCUGGGUUCUUACCCCAAUUAAGUUGCCAAGUCAACCGGCAAUG